AGGUGCUUUUUCAACUGAGGAGGGAGAGGGGAGUGGUGUAUCUGGAGCGGGGGAGACAGCAGGCUGACCGACCUAUCCUGAAGCAGAGGGAGGGGGGACACCCCCCAGCUCUGCUCGGCACAGCAGUCUCUCCCGAAUCAGCCCACUCUGCCUGCGGUACUGUGAUUCCUUCCGAGUUCCGGGAGCAGCAUCCUGAGCAGCUCUGUGAGCUCUCUGUGCUGAGGAAUGUCAAAGCAGCACAGCAGUCCUGUCGUCUGUCCCCCAGCAAGCCACCAGUGUUCCUAGAACAGGAUCGGUUUACCGGAGGAAGCUGCUAGCUAGUGGAACAGAUAAAAGCAUGAAAGCCUCAAGGACCACCUCCCAAAUUGCCUGUUCAAUAGUGCAGUCCUGCUGCCAUGUCUCCUCCAAGCCCUCCCUGUGAACCCUGCACUGCACAAGUCCUCAAGCAAGCUGAUUCUCACCAAAUAAAUAUAGUCAUGUCUUUGAAAUAUUA